UGCCAGCCGCCGCGGUAAUACGGAGACUGCGAGCGUUACUCGGAUUCACUGGGCGUAAAGGGUGCGUAGGCGGACAGAUGUGUCAGGUGUGAAAGCCCAGAGCUCAACUCUGGAACUGCGCCUGAAACUAUUUGUCUAGAGUAUCGGAGAGGUAAGCGGAAUUCCUAGUGUAGCGGUGAAAUGCGUAGAUAUCAGGAGGAACACCGAUGGCGAAGGCAUCUCUCUGGGUCGAUAUUGACGCUGAGGCGCGAAGGCGUGGGUAGCGAACGGGAUUAGAUA
rnacentral:rRNA from 1 species